rnacentral:lncRNA from 1 species
GAUAAAUCGGGGGGCGUGACAGAGGUGGUAUCAGAGCAUUAUUUGAGGAUCACUAUAAGAUAGUUGAUACAUUUGAUUUGCAAAAUUAUAUUGAGAUUUAGUAAAUUACAUAGAAAUAGAUGAAAAAUUUCUUUGAUAUCUUUUAGGGAUCUAGGAUGCAUCUGGUCGUCUUGAGGAAUGAAGUACGAUUGGCAGGGAAGUCGAAUUUUUAAAUUUUAGAGGAUGGCUUAUUGACAUUUGUGAUGGAUUUUAUGAUGUAGUUUCGUUUAGGUGAGUUGACUUUGGAUUUUAUGAAUCUUUGAGUGUUGUGUCGUAUGAUUAUAACUGCCAAGUCUUAUGUAUUGUAGGAUUAUGGUUGUGAAUUAUGACUUGAAUGAUUUUUAGUGUCCUCAAAUUUAGUUAGGAUUUCGUAUUAGAUUGUUGACUGAAUUUUAAUAAUAUGGAUUUUAAGACAGGGUCAAAUCUCGUGAAUGUGAUAAAUCGGGUGGCGUGACAGAGGUGGUAUCAGAGCAUUAUUUGAGGAUCACUAUAAGAUAGUAAAUACAUUUGAUUUGCUAAAUUAUAUUGAGAUUUAGUAAAUUAUAUAGAAAUCGUUGAAAAUUUUGUUUGAUAUCUUUUAGGGAUCUAGGAUGCAUCUGGUCGUCUCGAGGAAUGAAGUACGAAUGGCAGUGAUGUCGAAUUUUAAAAUUUUAGAGGAUGGCUUAUUGACAUUUGGGAUGGAUUUUAUGAUGUGGUUUCGUUUAGAUGAGUUGGCUUUGGAUUUUAUGAAUCUUUGAGUGUUGUGUCGUAUGAUUAUAACUACCAAGUCUUAUGAAUUGUGGAUUAUGGGUGUGAAUUAUGACUUAAAUGAUUUUUAGUGUCCUCAAAUUUAUAUGGAUUUCGUAUUAGAUUGUUGACUGAAUUUUAAUAAUAUGGAUUUUAAGACAGCGUCACACCUCCUGAAUGUGAUAAAUCGGGGGGCGUGACAGAGGUGGUAUUAGAGCAUUAUUUGAGAAUCACUAUAAGAUAGUUGAUACAUUUGAUUUGUAAAAUUAUAUUGAGAUUUAGUAAAUUAUAUAGAAAUCGAUGAAAAUUUUCUUUGAUAUCUUUUAGGUUUCUAGGAUGCAUCUGGUCGUCUCGAGGAAUGAAGUACGAAUGGCAGUGAUGUCGAAUUUUUAAAUUUUAGAGGAUGGCUUAUUGACAUUUGGGAUGGAUUUUAUGAUGUGGUUUCGUUUAGAUGAGUUGACAUUGGAUUUUAUGAAUCUAUGAGUGUUGUGUCGAAUGAUUAUAACUACCAAGUCUUAUGAAUUAUGGAUAAUGGGUGUGAAUUAUGACUUGAAUGAUUUUUAGUGUCCUCAAAUUUAGUUUGGAUUUCGUAUUAUAUUGUUGACUGAAUUUUAAUAUUAUGGAUUUUAAGACAGGGUCACACCUCCUGAAUGUGAUAAAUCGGGGGGCGUGACAGAGGUGGUAUCAGAGCAUUAUUUGAGGAUCACUAUAAGAUAGUUAAUACAUUUGAUUUGCAAAAUUAUAUU